rnacentral:rRNA from 1 species
ACACGACUACAUUAGAUACCCGGGUAGUCCCAGCUGUAAACGAUGCAGACUAGGUGUUUGGACGGCCACGUGCCGUUCUAGUGCCGCAGGGAAGCUGUUAAGUCUGCCGCCGUGGGGAGUACGAUCGCAAGAUUGAAAACUUAAAGGAAUUGGCGGGGGAGCACCACAAGAGGUGGAGGCUGCGGUUCAAUUGGACUCAACGCCGGAAAACUCAUCGGGAGCGACAGCAGUAUGAUUGCCAGGUUGAUGACCUUGCUUGACAAGCUG